AACGAACGCUGGCGGCAGGCCUAACACAUGCAAGUCGAACGCCCUAGCAAUAGGGAGUGGCAGACGGGUGAGUAACACGUGGGAACGUGCCCUUCGGUUCGGAAUAACUCAGGGAAACUUGAGCUAAUACCGGAUAAGUGCGAGAGCAGAAAGAUUUAUCGCCGAAGGAUCGGCCCGCGUCCGAUUAGCUAGUUGGUGAAGUAAUGGCUCACCAAGGCGACGAUCGGUAGCUGGUCUGAGAGGAUGACCAGCCACACUGGGACUGAGACACGGCCCAGACUCCUACGGGAGGCAGCAGUGGGGAAUAUUGGACAAUGGGCGCAAGCCUGAUCCAGCCAUGCCGCGUAAGUGAUGAAGGCCCUAGGGUUGUAAAGCUCUUUCGCCAGGGACGAUAAUGACGGUACCUGGAUAAGAAGCCCCGGCUAACUUCGUGCCAGCAGCCGCGGUAA
rnacentral:rRNA from 1 species